CCUACGGGUGGCUGCAGUCGAGAAUCUUCCGCAAUGGACGAAAGUCUGACGGAGCGACGCCGCGUGGUGGAUGAAGUCCUUAGGGACGUAAACACCUUUUAUGGAGGAGAAAGUUUAUUGAUGUUACUCCAUGAAUAAGGGGCUCCCAACUCUGUGCCAGCAGGAGCGGUAAUACAGAGGCCCCAAGCAUUAUCCGGAUUUACUGGGCGUAAAGGGUGCGUAGGCGGUUAUAUUAGUCAGGUGUUAAAUCUUUGGGCUCAACCCAAAAAUCGCAUUUGAAACGGUAUAACUAGAAGAAGUCAGAGGCAAGCAGAACUCACGGUGUAGGGGUGAAAUCCGUUGAUAUCGUGGGGAAUACCAAAUGCGAAGGCAGCUUGCUGGGACUCUCUUGACGCUGAGGCACGAAAGCGUGGGUAGCGAAGCGGAUUAGAUACCCAGGUAGUC
rnacentral:rRNA from 1 species